GGGGAUUUUGAAAAUGCCAAUUAACGGCACAAAAUCGGAAUUUCUAAUGGGAAACAAGGAGAUUCUUCUGUAAUCUCUCUCCAAAUUAUCUCAAAACACGCACACACACAAACAAUACAAAGACUUAAAAGAUUUUUAUUUUAAUUAAAGAACCAGGAAUUUGCUACCCUGUUCUGAGAAGUUGUGGAAUGACUGGGGGUGGGGAAGGAGGAAAGAAAAAAGAGUUUAAAAUUCACAGGUACCAUGAACACAAAUUUCCCAGAAGCUGUCCUAGGAAAUUUGUCAUUUCUACCCAUUUCUUGCAGGCCAGAAAAUAGACUGACUUCAGGAAUAUUUACUGUUUUCAUGAGAAAAAUUUCCAAGGUACUUCUUGAAGCAGUGAAAGUAAGUUGGAUUUAGAACAAAUGGAAACAUUAUAAAAUUGCUUACUUUCUUCCAAAAUUUGUUAUUUUUCUUCCUUAUGUCCUGUUAAAUCAGGGCCACUCAUUAGCAACCAUAUUUUUGCACUAUAGACUCGGCAGAAAUUUCUCUCUAUGACUGCAUUCCAAAUUAAACUUUUAAGUUUCCAGGGAAAGUGUAACAAGUGUUUAAAUCGGUCAGAAUUUAAACUAAUGAGAAAAAGGGAAAAAAAGCCAACCUCCUUCUUCUCUUGUACAGACGUUGCUUUUUAUCUGCUUCUCUCUUUGGGGACACUUUUAUCCCUGGAUCUUGAAAGGAUUGUUCACAAGCCAAGAAAUCGCAGGAAAGCGCGGAGGUGUCUGAGCGUGGAGCUACCGAAGAGUUCUGACAAACCCUGGCUGCAGGGAAACGAAGAGAGGAGGAAAGUUGGAGGAAGAGUCUUGAAGGUAGAAAAGAGGUCGUGAUGCAUACCUGUCCAGGAAACAACAGGACAAAAGAGAAGGCUGCCUCCGUAUUCCUGCAUCACCUCCUCUGCAGCCAGAAGGGUCUGUCCAGGAUGACUGCAAGACCCCAGACCCUCCAGGAGGACGGCCAGGCUCCCCCUCAGAGGCAGAGAGUGAAAAACCAAAACUACAAUGAACACACUUUGAAUUGUCUCUAAAACCCAGUAGACUGUCUCGAGCUCAAACAUCACUCUGUUUCGAUUAUAUAAAAAUGUGCUCACCUAUCACUGAGGAUGUAUUUUAAUCUGUUUGACAGAACAGGGAGUGGGUUCCCUAAAAGCAAGUCACCAAGGGCCACAAAGUGUUAAAAAACCCAUCAAGAGAUGGAAAAGCACGGAUCUGUCCAGUGAUCACCAAAGUGCGGAGGCCUCCUAAGGAACACAGCAGUGGGCAUAAACUUCUUUGCCAAAGGGGUCUCUGGUGCUCACACCCUCAGGUUGGCACUCACCUGCCAGGUGCACAGUCAGAACCAAGCAAGGAUGCCAAGUGGCCCAAGCACAGGGCAGCCAGCACUGCUCUUACUUCCUUCUUCAGGGAAGAUCAAGGGGGAGCACUUGAGCAUGAGCAGGAACUUCCCUCUCUCCCUUGUAUUUCAGAAGGAUCAUGCUCUACCGGCUUUUCA
rnacentral:lncRNA from 1 species